GUAUAUGACGGUGAUCUGGCUGCAGCGUCCGUCAUCCCAUUGAUCGCCAGGGUGGGGCUGGCUGAUCUGGCUGGCUGGGUAGCUGUCCCCUUCCUCCCUCACCACUCCAUGUGUGUCCCUUCCCAAGCUGGUCAAAGAGGACCGCCUCCCCCAGUAGAGGAGGACCAUUCUUCAGUCAAGGGUAUAAAAGUGGCUGUACUCCCCUCCAAACAAGCUCUCAGAGUCCAUUUGGAGGAGAAUGUAGAGCAGUCAAGCUUCCAAGACUCCAGACACACCCAAAUGAGGUGCUGCAUGUGGCAGUCUGCCUUUCUUA
ensembl:misc_RNA 7SK 7SK RNA